rnacentral:rRNA from 1 species
CAUAACAGCCAUAUCACCCUGCAGCCCAAGACUGGUUGCCCACUGAAGCUAAGCAGUGUUGAGCUUGGUCAGUAUCUGGAUGGGAGACCUCCUGGGAAAACUAGGUUGCUGUUGGAA